rnacentral:rRNA from 1 species
UGGGGAAUCUUGCACAAUGGGGGCAACCCUGAUGCACCGACGCCGCGUGAGCGAUGAAGGUUUUCGAAUCGUAAAGCUCUGUCCUAUGGGAAGAUAAUGACGGUACCAUAGGAGGAAGCCCCGGCUAACUACGUGCCAGCAGCCGCGGUAAUACGUAGGGGGCGAGCGUUGUCCGGAAUUACUGGGCGUAAAGGGUUCGCAGGCGGCCUGGCAAGUCCGAUGUAAAAGGCGAAGGCUCAACCUUCGUAAGCAUCGGAAACUGUCAAGCUUGAGUGAAGGAGAGGCAAGUGGAAUUCCUAGUGUAGCGGUGGAAUGCGUAGAUAUUAGGAGGAAUACCGGUGGCGAAGGCGACUUACUGGGCUCAUUCUGACGCUGAGGAACGAAAGCGUGGGUAGCAAACAGG